GAAACAUUGGAUGUCUGAUAGCUGUGCAUGUGGUUGCAUGCUGACAUAGGGAUAGAUGGCCUUCCACUGACUGCAGACAUUCCAGAUACAGCGCUGGGCCGUUGACCGGCUGAGGCUACCCUCCCCAGAACAUGUUGCCCUCGUCCUCCUCUGCUGUCUCCUCCUCAGUGGGGGCAUACAAAGAUCCCCUUUAUCUGGAGGACCCCCAUGCACCUUCUGAAGACCCCUAUCACAGGGGUCACCCACCUACUGCACCCUUCCGUUCUAACAAGCCCCCUGCUCUACCCCGCAUAUCCUAACGCUGGAGGGGCUGGACAGCACAUGGCACAGCACCCUGCAAUACCUUCUCCACCCCUUGCACCCCAGGCCGACAGAGACAGAGAGUGGGACAGCGACUCAGGUGGGAUUGUCUCUAGAAGGUGAUCUUACCAGGAGGCCAAGUCUUCCUCUAAGUAUUCCCGCCACUCAGAGCGAGAGAGAGGGGAAAGGGUCUACAGAUGAGUCAGCUUGGGCUACAGAGACCACGGUAGACCCUGUAACCACUACUCACACAACCACAGCAGCUACCACAGUCAUAUAUUUGUGCUAUUUGUGAAUAGUGUGAAGUAAAAUUCAGAGUUAUAUCGAUACAAGAUGUGAAUAUCAGUGACAAAAAGGCUUUGCAGUGGUAUCGUGAUACUUUCACAUACAUUGUUUUGUGGGUAAUAUUUUGGCAUCAGGACAACCCCAAUAGUGAUGUGGCAAAAACAUUAUACAGUUACAUAUCAGGAUAUUAUCUUUGACACUAUAUUGAAUCGUUAUGAAAAUGCCACAAUAUUAUUUUUUUGCGCUAGUUGGCUGUACCUGCACAAAAAGGGAUUACAUUUGUUUUCGGCAUUUAUUUCUAUGACGGAUCAAAACUUCUUUUCUCAUGGCUCACUCGUCUCACUGUAGCAGACGUAUGGUCAUGUUUGGAACAUUGAAUCACAAUAAAAUCACAGUAUGGAAUUGCAAUACAUAUAGAAUAGUGAGAAUCGCAAAACACAUCGUAUCGUCACCAAAGUAUCACGAUAAUAAUGUAUUGUCACUAGCAAUUCCCAGCCCUAAACCCUAAUACAUUAUGUAAUUUCAUAUGGGUUAAGCUGCAUUUCAGUUGAACUCCAGGUCCAUUUUGACACAUGUAAGAUUUUUGCAAUCAUUUUCAGUAUUUAUAACAGAGUUUCACUAGGUGUGGAGGUGGUACAGUUUGCACAACUUAUGAGCUGGUAUGUGCUGACUGACAGCUUUUUAGGCAGCUCCCCCAGGCAUUUGCAGGGAGUUUUACACUUUGGCUUUGUCUAAAUGGGGUGGUGAAACGUUUGUGGUUUACCCAAUAAAUUACUGGGAGCCUGUAUAUAGUGUUUAACUCUCUUUAUGUUUUAAUAGAAUGCAGUUUACUUGCCCGUUAGUCAGCACCUAUACUAACUUUUUUGGUGGUGGUGUGCGCCAGCUCCUAUUUUCUGUGUGGGGUUAAUGACAGCACUUUCAAUUUCACACCAUUUUUUUUUACUAUUUUGUUAUUUUACAAGCAAUACGACUUUGUAUUAAAAGCAAUCUAACCUCU